rnacentral:lncRNA from 1 species
GGAUUUCUGAAGUGCAAUUCUCUGCAAAUUCAUAAGAAUUUUUGAACGACGCCCCUCAGAGUCGAGGGAAUCACAAAUUAAUAUUUUGGGUUACUUGAUAACGCAAACCAUUUGAGAAACGUGAUGUAGCUUUUCUUAGUUCACACUUGGUGAAUGUGUUUUCUCUUUCUGAGUGGUCGAAAUUUUCUACAUAUCUCAAAAAAAAAAAAAUCGUUAGAGAAGGAUUUUCAUCUUUCUUUUUUUAUCUUAUCUCAUGUGGCAUGUCUUCUCCAACCCUGUAGUCAUCAUAUUCUACUUAUUCUCCAAAAAAU